GUUCCACACCUUCUUCGUUAAAUAAAAAGGUUACAUCAUCUGGUAUGUCGAAAAGACCUGAUAAAAUAUCAAAUUUGAUGAAGCAGUUGGAAGUUUGCACAUUCAAGACAGCUUUUUAGUGUAUAUCAGGACUCGUCUAAAUUCUACUAGACUUGUAAUUUAUUCAUUUCUUUGUGAUUUAAAUUUUUCAUCGAAUGCAAAUUCACAGAAAAGUGGAGCUAGCUAUCAGUCCAUUCCACUGAACAAUUCAUAUUUUCUAAGAACUUUCUACUUUGAUUCAA